rnacentral:rRNA from 1 species
GACGAACGCUGGCGGCGUGCUUAACACAUGCGAGUCGAACGGAAAGGCCCUGCUUUUGUGGGGUGCUCGAGUGGCGAACGGGUGAGUAACACGUGAGUAACCUGCCCUUGACUUUGGGAUAACUUCAGGAAACUGGGGCUAAUACCGGAUAGGAGCUCCUGCUGCAUGGUGGGGGUUGGAAAGUUUCGGCGGUUGGGGAUGGACUCGCGGCUUAUCAGCUUGUUGGUGGGGUAGUGGCUUACCAAGGCUUUGACGGGUAGCCGGCCUGAGAGGGUGCCCGGCCCCAUGGGGACUGGGAUCCGGCCCAGGCUCCUACGGGGGGCAGGAGGGGGGAAUUUUGCACAAGGGGCGGAAGCCUGAUGCAGCAACGCCGCGUGCGGGAUGGCGGCCUUCGGGUUGUAAACCGCUUUCGCCUGGGACGAAGCGUGAGUGACGGUAAUGGGUAAAGAAGCACCGGCCAACUACGU